rnacentral:rRNA from 1 species
GAAUUCGCCCUUAGAGUUUGAUCCUGGCUCAGGACGAACGCUGGCGGCACGCUUAACACAUGCAAGUCGAACGAGAGAAGAGAAGCUUGCUUUUCUGAUCUAGUGGCGGACGGGUGAGUAACACGUGAGCAAUCUGCCUUUCAGAGGGGGAUACCGAUUGGAAACGAUCGUUAAUACCGCAUAAUAUAAUUGAACCGCAUGAUUUGAUUAUCAAAGAUUUAUCGCUGAAAGAUGAGCUCGCGUCUGAUUAGCUAGUUGGUAAGGUAACGGCUUACCAAGGCGACGAUCAGUAGCCGGACUGAGAGGUUGAUCGGCCACAUUGGGACUGAGACACGGCCCAGACUCCUACGGGAGGCAGCAGUGGGGAAUAUUGCACAAUGGAGGAAACUCUGAUGCAGCGAUGCCGCGUGAGGGAAGAAGGUUUUAGGAUUGUAAACCUCUGUCUUCAGGGACGAAAAAAGACGGUACCUGAGGAGGAAGCUCCGGCUAACUACGUGCCAGCAGCCGCGGUAAUACGUAGGGAGCGAGCGUUGUCCGGAAUUACUGGGUGUAAAGGGAGCGUAGGCGGGAUCGCAAGUCAGAUGUGAAAACUAUGGGCUUAACCCAUAAACUGCAUUUGAAACUGUGGUUCUUGAGUGAAGUAGAGGUAAGCGGAAUUCCUAGUGUAGUGGUGAAAUGCGUAGAUAUUAGGAGGAACAUCAGUGGCGAAGGCGGCUUACUGGGCUUUAACUGACGCUGAGGCUCGAAAGCGUGGGGAGCAAACAGGAUUAGAUACCCUGGUAGUCCACGCCGUAA